GGCCGAGCUGCACCACGGAACCCUUCCGGGCUGCUGGGGAAAACGGUCAGGUGACUGCUUAUAGCACACAGCUUAUUAAUUCAGCGACACAUAUUUAAAACCACAGAGCGCGUGAAAAUCACGUUGAUUUGGAAAUAACGGCCUUCCCACACGCACAGUUCGCAAAACAAUUUAGACUUUCCAGGUGCAUCUGACACCUGUGUUUGCACGGAAUCACGCACCCUUUGGGUCUCGAAUGUCGGCCUCGCCACUUCGGAUUUGUUCGAAAGAAAAUGCAGUUUGAUUUGUCCUAUGUUUGCUGUCUCAGAAAUUUGAUUCCAAGCUGUAAACACCACUGAGUGGUGGCGGUGUCCACUGCUUGCUGUAUUGCUGUUGUUUCAAAGUCACUAUUCAAAGGCUGCCUAAGACGACUCACAGAAACAGUAACUAAAUUAGAAUUUUUUCUCAUUGAGCGACAAAACUGAUUUUGUCAGAAGACCUCUAUACGCAUCUAAAGACCGUGUUUUAGGCCACUACGUUUCCCCCAAACUUUGUCUUCAAAAUACAAGAGCGUCCUAUACCAUGUGGCUCAGAUACAAGGUUGCAUCUACUUUCCUGAAGAAUAAUUUAAAACAAAAUACCAAACCUGCUCACAUUCUGGCAUAUGCCGUAACACAGUGGGAACGCUUACCAUGUAAAGAUGACUUCAAGGGUAUCUCUUAACAAAAUCCAAGAUUUCCUGCUAAGAUUUAAUAAAAUCAGUAGUGACUUUAUCCCAUUUUUCAGACGGGAUACUGAAGUAAAAUCUCACAAACGUGAAUGCUACAUCUGUUAUGCAAGCCAUUUGUUAGGAACCAUGCUCAAGACAAAACAAAACAACCCCCAAAACAAUGUGCUUUUAUGCCGGUACAUUUGCCUACAUGCACUGUUCUCCCCCUCUCCCUCCCCCACCCUCUCUCACAGCUACUGUUACAGAAGAUGAACUGCUGGAGCACAGAUACAACCAUCUUUAAUUUGUGUCUACGUCAGACCGCAUGCAUGUAUUUCCCUGAAGCUCCUGAGAUAAUCCGGCACAGAGAAACGGAGCUUUUGAUCGCUUGUCACUUACCGUCUCUUAUAAUUGCAAACCAACGGCAACAAUGAACAUAAUAGCUGCCACUGACGGUACCCUUGCAGGUGGCAGACCCCACUCAGGGCAGCUGGGCAUUGGGUCAGUUCAGAGCAAACGCCAAGCACAGCCCCUCCACGGGAUAAGCGCCCGGCAGAUGCCAGCAAUGAUACUACUUUUGCUGUUGUUAUUAACUGUUAAUCCCAUCCUCCCCACAAUGACUAGGGGAGGCCAGCGUUCACAGAGGGGGACGUUAAGCAGAUACUUUGCACGUUGCCAAAGGUCAGAGAGUUACCGGCCAAGAGGAAUAGGAACUCUGCAUUUGUACCUGUUUCAAUAACUGUUUUGCAUUCUUAAAAAAGCCAAAUGUAUAUAAACUAAAGAGGGUGGGAGUAAGGGUAGCCCAGGCAAUUUUAAACUACCCCUUUAAGCUUCAUCCCUAACGGAGAGACAAAGGCCUGGGACGGACACCCAAUGUCAAAGGCACAGGCAGACCCCUGAGAGUCCCCUCAUGGCCAUUGCUGAAAAGCAGCACCGGCAUCUCCCGGACCAAAGCAAGCCAAGGCCAAGCACGCGACAGGAAGGGGCAAGAUUGGCAAACAACAGGGAACCAAGGGA